CCCUUAGAUGUUCUGGGCCGCACGCGCGCUACACUGAUGAAUUCAACGAGCUCCUGACCUAGGCCGAAGGGUCCGGGUAAUCUUUGAAAUUUCAUCGUGAUGGGGAUAGAUUAUUGCAAUUAUUAAUCUUCAACGAGGAAUUCCUAGUAAGCGCGAGUCAUCAGCUCGCGUUGAUUACGUCCCUGCCCUUUGUACACACCGCCCGUCGCUCCUACCGAUUGAAUGGUCCGGUGAAAUGUUCGGACCGCGACAAGGCGGACGGUUCGCUGUCAGCUUUGCUGCGGGAAGUUCAUUAAACCUUAUCAUUUAGAGGAAGGAGAAGUCGUAACA
rnacentral:rRNA from 1 species